AUAGACAGAAGAGGUGCGAUGCUUAGGUAGCUUGUUUGAGGACACGACAUCCAACGACAGCAAGUGAGGGAAGUAUUCGCCGAGGAAAGUGAUUGGUCGUCACAAUGACUUUUCGGUUUACGGGGUUGAAUCCCUGGAACUGUCACCGAUUAUUGGUGGAGAGCUUCUGGCAGU
rnacentral:ncRNA from 2 species